rnacentral:rRNA from 1 species
ACAGCAGCAGCCACGGUAAUACAGAGGGUGCGAGCGUUAAUCGGAUUUACUGGGCGUAAAGCGUGCGUAGGCGGCUUUUUAAGUCGGAUGUGAAAUCCCUGAGCUUAACUUAGGAAUUGCAUUCGAUACUGGGAAGCUAGAGUAUGGGAGAGGAUGGUAGAAUUACAGGUGUAGCGGUGAAAUGCGUAGAGAUCUGGAGGAAUACCGAUGGCGAAGGCAGCCAUCUGGCCUAAUACUGACGCUGAGGUACGAAAGCAUGGGGAGCAAACAGGAUUAGAUACCCCCGUAGUCCCUGUCUCUUAUAC